UACGGGGGGAGCAAGCGUUGUUCGGAUUUACUGGGCGUAAAGGGCGCGUAGGCGGCCACCGCAAGUCGACUGUGAAAUCUCCGGGCUUAACCCGGAAAGGUCAGCCGAUACUGCGGGGCUAGAGUGCAGAAGGGGCAACUGGAAUUCUCGGUGUAGCGGUGAAAUGCGUAGAUAUCGAGAGGAACACCUGCGGCGAAGGCGGGUUGCUGGGCUGACACUGACGCUGAGGCGCGAAAGCAUGGGGAGCGAACAGG
rnacentral:rRNA from 1 species